rnacentral:rRNA from 1 species
AAUAGAUACCCAGGUAGUCCACCCCGUAAACGUUGGGAACUAGUUGUGGGUCCUUUCCACGGAUUCCGUGACGCAGCUAACGCAUUAAGUUCCCCGCCUGGGGAGUACGGCCGCAAGGCUAAAACUCAAAGGAAUUGACGGGGACCCGCACAAGCGGCGGAGCAUGCGGAUUAAUUCGAUGCAACGCGAAGAACCUUACCAAGGCUUGACAUACACCAGAACACCCUAGAAAUAGGGGACUCUUUGGACACUGGUGAACAGGUGGUGCAUGGUUGUCGUCAGCUCGUGUCGUGAGAUGUUGGGUUAAGUCCCGCAACGAGCGCAACCCUCGUUCUAUGUUGCCAGCACGUAAUGGUGGGAACUCAUGGGAUACUGCCGGGGUCAACUCGGAGGAAGGUGGGGAUGACGUCAAAUCAUCAUGCCCCUUAUGUCUUGGGCUUUCACGCAUGCUACAAUGGCCGGUACAAAGGGGCUGCAAUACCGUGAGGUGGAGCGAAUCCCGAAAAAGCCGGUCCCAGUUCGGAUUGAGGUCUGCAACUCGACCUCA